rnacentral:lncRNA from 1 species
UGUUUGUACCAAAAAGGUGCCCUUUGAGUUGUUAUUUUAAUUAUAAACAUAUUUAACACAUAAAAAAUUCGCAGUGUUAAAAAUUACCGUUUUUUUAUGCUUAGUUUUGCAGCAUAUUUUCUGAUUUUAACUAUUUCAUUUGGACGUGUAAAGGGCAGCUUUUACUUUUGUUCGUACUUCCGCUUCUUUCUUGAUUUAUAAGUAUUUGACACAUAAACAGUAACACAUAAAUAGUAACACAUAAACAAUAACGUAUAAACAUUCAUGCAGUACUUUGUACACACCGAUGGAAUCGUACACCGACCUUUUAUCCAUAGUAGUCGAUUUAGGGUUUGAAAACACUAAAAUUGGCUUUUCCGGAGAUGAAUGUCCAACCAACAUCUUUAGCUCGUACGUUGGUAUUCCACUAGAUUUAGACACUCGAAUAAAAAAUGAAUGUUAUAAAAAAUGUUUAUGUACUAAAAAGGAAUUUUAUCAAUUUAAUCUGAUAUAUCCACUUUCUUAUUUAGACGAAUUACCAUCCAAUGUAAAAUUAAAACCGUGUUUAUUUUUGAAUAGUAAAAACCGAUUUAGUGUAAAUGAAGAUGUUUUAGAAAAAAUACUUUUUAUGAAUAUAAAUGGAGAUAGAUGUUUGUUUAAUUUAUUCAAAAAUAGAAUAAAUGAUUUUAUAAGUAAUAAAUUGCAUAAACAAACAGAUAUAAAGGAUAAUGUGUUCUUUGAAAACAACACGGAUGAUAAUAUGCUAGCAAGUAAUAACAAUUAUGAAAAGGGCUAUACGUGUGAACAAGAUAACAGCACUAAUGUAAUUGUAAACGAUGACAAUUUAACAACAACAGAAGAUUCUACAAGAGAUAAUAACACAUCUAUGAAUACUAUGAUAAUAGAAACUACAAAAAUGUGCGCUUCACCAAAGGACACUAUAUCAGAAGUGAUUACACCUGCAUGUAAUAAUUCUAACAAUAAAAAAACAGAACAUAGCACUAAUACAAUUUCUAGUUCAUGCAUAUUAAAACAAUGGGCAAAUGAAAAUAAUUAUUUUGAUUUUAACCUAAUUGAAAAUAAAGCUAUAGAUAUUGAGGGUAUAAAAAAGAUGAUAAAUACAUAUAGUAAUAAUGUUGGAUGCGGGUUGAAUGAAACUUUAAACAAGUUCCCUUAUUUAUUUUCUUUACCUAAUAAAAGGAAUUCACAAAUAAAAACAAAAAUAAGCGAAUUAUUAUUUGAAAAAUAUAAGGUACCAGCUAUAUAUUUUAACCCAAAGUCAAUACUGACAGGUUUUGCGUACAAUAAAUAUAUUUGUACUGUCAUUGAUGUUGGGUCUCGCUAUACAGAUUUUGCUAUAUGUAAUAAU